rnacentral:rRNA from 1 species
UACAGAGGUCCCGAGCGUUGUUCGGAUUCAUUGGGCGUAAAGGGUGCGUAGGCGGCGAGGUAAGUCUGAUGUGAAAUCCCGGGGCUCAACCCCGGAACUGCAUUGGAUACUGCCUUGCUUGAGUACUGGAAAGGGAACUGGAAUUUACGGUGUAGCAGUGAAAUGCGUAGAGAUCGUAAGGAAGGCCAGUGGCGAAGGCGAGUUCCUGGACAGUUACUGACGCUGAGGCACGAAGGCCAGGGGAGCAAACGGG